UUAAGCGACUAAGCGUACACGGUGGAUGCCCUGGCAGUCAGAGGCGAUGAAGGACGUGCUAAUCUGCGAUAAGCGUCGGUAAGGUGAUAUGAACCGUUAUAACCGGCGAUUUCCGAAUGGGGAAACCCAGUGUGAUUCGUCACACUAUCAUUAACUGAAUCCAUAGGUUAAUGAGGCGAACCGGGGGAACUGAAACAUCUAAGUACCCCGAGGAAAAGAAAUCAACCGAGAUUCCCCCAGUAGCGGCGAGCGAACGGGGAGCAGCCCAGAGCCUGAAUCAGUGUGUGUGUUAGUGGAAGCGUCUGGAAAGGCGCGCGAUACAGGGUGACAGCCCCGUACACAAAAAUGCACAUACUGUGAGCUCGAUGAGUAGGGCGGGACACGUGGUAUCCUGUCUGAAUAUGGGGGGACCAUCCUCCAAGGCUAAAUACUCCUGACUGACCGAUAGUGAACCAGUACCGUGAGGGAAAGGCGAAAAGAACCCCGGCGAGGGGAGUGAAAAAGAACCUGAAACCGUGUACGUACAAGCAGUGGGAGCCUCUUUAUGGGGUGACUGCGUACCUUUUGUAUAAUGGGUCAGCGACUUAUAUUCUGUAGCAAGGUUAACCGAAUAGGGGAGCCGAAGGGAAACCGAGUCUUAACUGGGCGUUAAGUUGCAGGGUAUAGACCCGAAACCCGGUGAUCUAGCCAUGGGCAGGUUGAAGGUUGGGUAACACUAACUGGAGGACCGAACCGACUAAUGUUGAAAAAUUAGCGGAUGACUUGUGGCUGGGGGUGAAAGGCCAAUCAAACCGGGAGAUAGCUGGUUCUCCCCGAAAGCUAUUUAGGUAGCGCCUCGUGAAUUCAUCUCCGGGGGUAGAGCACUGUUUCGGCAAGGGGGUCAUCCCGACUUACCAACCCGAUGCAAACUGCGAAUACCGGAGAAUGUUAUCACGGGAGACACACGGCGGGUGCUAACGUCCGUCGUGAAGAGGGAAACAACCCAGACCGCCAGCUAAGGUCCCAAAGUCAUGGUUAAGUGGGAAACGAUGUGGGAAGGCCCAGACAGCCAGGAUGUUGGCUUAGAAGCAGCCAUCAUUUAAAGAAAGCGUAAUAGCUCACUGGUCGAGUCGGCCUGCGCGGAAGAUGUAACGGGGCUAAACCAUGCACCGAAGCUGCGGCAGCGACACUAUGUGUUGUUGGGUAGGGGAGCGUUCUGUAAGCCUGUGAAGGUGUGCUGUGAGGUAUGCUGGAGGUAUCAGAAGUGCGAAUGCUGACAUAAGUAACGAUAAAGCGGGUGAAAAGCCCGCUCGCCGGAAGACCAAGGGUUCCUGUCCAACGUUAAUCGGGGCAGGGUGAGUCGACCCCUAAGGCGAGGCCGAAAGGCGUAGUCGAUGGGAAACAGGUUAAUAUUCCUGUACUUGGUGUUACUGCGAAGGGGGGACGGAGAAGGCUAUGUUGGCCGGGCGACGGUUGUCCCGGUUUAAGCGUGUAGGCUGGUUUUCCAGGCAAAUCCGGAAAAUCAAGGCUGAGGCGUGAUGACGAGGCACUACGGUGCUGAAGCAACAAAUGCCCUGCUUCCAGGAAAAGCCUCUAAGCAUCAGGUAACAUCAAAUCGUACCCCAAACCGACACAGGUGGUCAGGUAGAGAAUACCAAGGCGCUUGAGAGAACUCGGGUGAAGGAACUAGGCAAAAUGGUGCCGUAACUUCGGGAGAAGGCACGCUGAUAUGUAGGUGAAGUCCCUUGCGGAUGGAGCUGAAAUCAGUCGAAGAUACCAGCUGGCUGCAACUGUUUAUUAAAAACACAGCACUGUGCAAACACGAAAGUGGACGUAUACGGUGUGACGCCUGCCCGGUGCCGGAAGGUUAAUUGAUGGGGUUAGCGGUAACGCGAAGCUCUUGAUCGAAGCCCCGGUAAACGGCGGCCGUAACUAUAACGGUCCUAAGGUAGCGAAAUUCCUUGUCGGGUAAGUUCCGACCUGCACGAAUGGCGUAAUGAUGGCCAGGCUGUCUCCACCCGAGACUCAGUGAAAUUGAACUCGCUGUGAAGAUGCAGUGUACCCGCGGCAAGACGGAAAGACCCCGUGAACCUUUACUAUAGCUUGACACUGAACAUUGAGCCUUGAUGUGUAGGAUAGGUGGGAGGCUUUGAAGUGUGGACGCCAGUCUGCAUGGAGCCGACCUUGAAAUACCACCCUUUAAUGUUUGAUGUUCUAACGUUGGCCCCUGAUCGGGGUUGCGGACAGUGUCUGGUGGGUAGUUUGACUGGGGCGGUCUCCUCCUAAAGAGUAACGGAGGAGCACGAAGGUUGGCUAAUCCUGGUCGGACAUCAGGAGGUUAGUGCAAUGGCAUAAGCCAGCUUGACUGCGAGCGUGACGGCGCGAGCAGGUGCGAAAGCAGGUCAUAGUGAUCCGGUGGUUCUGAAUGGAAGGGCCAUCGCUCAACGGAUAAAAGGUACUCCGGGGAUAACAGGCUGAUACCGCCCAAGAGUUCAUAUCGACGGCGGUGUUUGGCACCUCGAUGUCGGCUCAUCACAUCCUGGGGCUGAAGUAGGUCCCAAGGGUAUGGCUGUUCGCCAUUUAAAGUGGUACGCGAGCUGGGUUUAGAACGUCGUGAGACAGUUCGGUCCCUAUCUGCCGUGGGCGCUGGAGAACUGAGGGGGGCUGCUCCUAGUACGAGAGGACCGGAGUGGACGCAUCACUGGUGUUCGGGUUGUCAUGCCAAUGGCACUGCCCGGUAGCUAAAUGCGGAAGAGAUAAGUGCUGAAAGCAUCUAAGCACGAAACUUGCCCCGAGAUGAGUUCUCCCUGACUCCUUGAGAGUCCUGAAGGAACGUUGAAGACGACGACGUUGAUAGGCCGGGUGUGUAAGCGCAGCGAUGCGUUGAGCUAACCGGUACUAAUGAACCGUGAGGCUUAACCUU
rnacentral:rRNA from 2 species